GGAUUUCGCUUGCUCAUGCUGCUGAGUAAGCCUCAAGAAGUUGAUCAGCAACAAACAUGAUUUGUGGAAUUGGUGAUUUUUAUCGAGUUUCAUAAAUUUCUUUUAAUUUUUCCGCUAUGAUAAAGGGUAGUUAGGACGCUGGGAGUAAGUUAAAUAUGGCAGUCUGAAAUGAAGGAAAUAUUGUUAGUCAACAGCUUUUGCUGUACAGGAGAUGGUAAGUGAAUGUUGGAUUCUCGUUGUUCCAUAAUUUUAAUUGUUACUAAAAUUAAAUACUGCCAAUUGAGGGACAAAAUUCAUAUUAGUCCUAAUUGGAAGGAAAUAUUGUUGAAAAACACAUUUUGCAUGGUUCCUUGGCAACUUGUGUUGUGUUUAGAUUGUUUGUGAUGGUGUUUCCUUAGCUUCGAUACCCUGACAUGAUUCAGAGCUUUUGUUCAAAUGCCCGGGAAAGGUCAAAAGGCUUUUUGUUUCUACUAGGUUAUUGGUUUUGUUUAGAUCAUGGGAAGUUUUCUACUUUGCAGUCAACUGCCUAAUUAUAUAUACAACAAGGUAGAAAACGUCAUUCACGUAUUAAGUUCGCAAUCAGGUUAUCUUUAGUUAUUUAUACAAUGAGGUAUAAAUCAACAAUGAAGACUUAUCCAAACAAAUUUGGAUCUUGCUUAUACAG